rnacentral:rRNA from 1 species
AGAGUUUGAUCCUGGCUCAGGAUGAACGCUGGCGGCGUGCCUAACACAUGCAAGUCGAGCGAUUUACUUCGGUAAAGAGCGGCGGACGGGUGAGUAACGCGUGGGUAACCUGCCCUGUACACACGGAUAACAUACCGAAAGGUAUGCUAAUACGAGAUAAUAUGCUUUUAUCGCAUGGUAGAAGUAUCAAAGCUCCGGCGGUACAGGAUGGACCCGCGUCUGAUUAGCUAGUUGGUAAGGUAACGGCUUACCAAGGCGACGAUCAGUAGCCGACCUGAGAGGGUGAUCGGCCACAUUGGAACUGAGACACGGUCCAAACUCCUACGGGAGGCAGCAGUGGGGAAUAUUGCACAAUGGGCGAAAGCCUGAUGCAGCAACGCCGCGUGAGCGAUGAAGGCCUUCGGGUCGUAAAGCUCUGUCCUCAAGGAAGAUAAUGACGGUACUUGAGGAGGAAGCCCCGGCUAACUACGUGCCAGCAGCCGCGGUAAUACGUAGGGGGCUAGCGUUAUCCGGAAUUACUGGGCGUAAAGGGUGCGUAGGUGGUUUCUUAAGUCAGAGGUGAAAGGCUACGGCUCAACCGUAGUAAGCCUUUGAAACUGGGAAACUUGAGUGCAGGAGAGGAGAGUGGAAUUCCUAGUGUAGCGGUGAAAUGCGUAGAUAUUAGGAGGAACACCAGUUGCGAAGGCGGCUCUCUGGACUGUAACUGACACUGAGGCACGAAAGCGUGGGGAGCAAACAGGAUUAGAUACCCUGGUAGUCCACGCCGUAAACGAUGAGUACUACCUGUCGGAGGUUACCCCC